rnacentral:tRNA from 1 species
GGGCCUGUAGCUCAACGGUUAGAGCUGGCGGCUCAUAACCGCUAGGUUGGGGGUUCGAGUCCCUCCGGGCCCACCA